rnacentral:misc_RNA from 1 species
AAAAAAAAAAAAAAACUGUGGCAAAGUAAAAUCUAGCAAGAACUACAAGAAGAUUGUUUGAUCAUAUCCACCAGGAAGUUGGCCUGUGCUUUAUGUGAAUACAAUCAGAGAGGAUGGAGUGAAACUAUGAAAUCAGUACAGAAAUUAAACCAUUGGGAAAAUGGCUUUGAUGAUCGAAUCUAAGUCCAAGCAAGGGCUAAAAGAAAUGCAUACUCAAUAGAAAAAUUAUCAGGGAAGGAGAAAAAACACACAAGGUGGAAAAAAGACCAAGAACUGAGUUAUGAAAAGUGAAGCUGUUAUAUAAAAAUAAGAACUUACGAUUUUCCCGACUAGUGGGUGUU